UGAUCUGAACAUUUUUUUCCACAAUACACAGGUAGUACAUAGUAAUAGCCCUCUUAAUAAUUCCUAUAUAAAAGUAUGAUCUAAACAUUUUGUUGAGUUGUUUUUGCACCAGAUUGUUGGCCAUUAACGGUUAUCCAUGGCACUAAAACUACUUGAUCUCAAUACAUUCACCUCACAACACUUGUUGGCGAAAACAUGUGCUAUAGCACCAAAGAAGUUGAGGUCAAAUUAAUGAGGUCAUCGACUUGAAGAUUGAUAAAUAUGGUUCUGUUAUUAUGCAGGAGUUGUGUGAUCUGAGGAGAAACUAUUCUCUUGCAAAUCGGAUAAUUGUUGUAGGAAUUAAAAGGCACAUGAUUGUACUGUUGUUCUGGGAUUUCGUUUCUUACGUUCCUCGACCCUAAUGUCUACAUGAGGUGUGAGUUCAACGGAUAAAGGAAAUCACAUUACUAAUAGAAUGAUGCCGCAGCAAAGAAAAUGCUCUCAGCCUUGGACGAUCCAUUCACUCGAUUCUUGAAACCAUUACCUUUUCUGAAGCAAGACUAGCUAGCACCCAAGGUGCCGUGGCAGGUAAAUGACUGUCUAGAGACGUUUUAUCUUGAUAAUUGACAACAUAAGAGUGCAAAAUAUUUGACAGCAGAUCGCUUAUGGAAACUCAAUAGAUGGCUAUUUCAGUGGAGAUUAUACCAGAGAUGUUGUUUUGAAAGUAUAUGCCAGGAGAGAAAGAUAUACUUGAAACCCGAUGAGGUCAAUGAUGUGGAGAUUUUACCAGAGAUGUUGUUUUCAAGUAAGAUUUUGUGUGAGAUUAUACCGAUCGCACCAGCACGCCACAUUGUUGCUCCACGGCAAAGGCAGCGAGCGACUGGCUGGCUGCUGCUAGCUUGUACGUGUGGAAGGCAGUUGUUCACGGCAGACCAGUGAGCGGCGGCGGGUGGGCGCGACCACAUGGUGGUUGGAAGGUAGGCUUCGCGGAGUUCAACCUCGGCCACCAUCGUACCACGAUCUCGGCCCACCCGGAAAGUCGGAUGAAGAGGUGGUGGACGACUGAUCCCGGAGAGGAGAACAAGCCUCCGAGCACGUGCUCGUCAACUCCAUGCCGGCCGCUCCAAGCGCCUCUGCUUCGUGUCUUCAAGGCAGGCGCCGAGAUAGCCUUUGCAGCGAGCUGUGGUGUGUGGACUCUGCGGCGAGAUGGGAUUCAGAAUCCUUUUCUGUGGUGAGAUAACCCUGCCACCACUCAUAUGCCAUUGCAUAUAAGUGAAUCUGUUUUAUAGAAAUCAAUCUUGCACGUUGGUUAGCUCCGUAAUUUCUUUUACUCCGUAGCAGACUGAGUUGCUCACAGCCUAUUUGCUGGAACGCCAACGAGGAGUCAUUUUUCCAUCUCCACAAAUAUUCUUGGUCUCUUCAAAUUAAUUGCUUCUUAAUCCAACUACCAUUUUUCAAGAUUAGUUCGUUUAUAUAAUAUUUAUUUUUGUACCAGUGUUGAUCAAGUAGGUUAUUAUUGUGAGGAAUCAGCAGUAGGAUGCACAUGUAUUUGUUUCUUGCCACUGGUUGCAAAAGCCUAAAAAAUGAUAUGUUUUAUUCACCUCUUCACAGUAAUACGAGUAUUUUGUUUAUUUCCUACUCCCUUUUAGUGUUUACUGAUUAGUCACUCUUAAAGGUGAAUGCAUGUGUAUAAUAGGUGUGUCAUGGCUGCAUUUUGCGGCCCCUGACUACUGGAAAGUAAUCUUCUUUGGAUGAUUUGUAUUUUUUUCUGGAAUUUGUACUUAGAUAGCACAUCCAAGGAAGGAAAGAGAUUGAGGUUGGCACCUCCUGAAGGCAUGCAUGCUCUUCACCGAGAGAGGGAAGGGCAUCUUUUUCUUGGGUUGCAGUUUCCACCUUGUUGUUGGGUGAGCUGAUUCGUUGUUUGUCAGAGCUCUUGUGGAUAAUCAGACAUGGGGUGCAUGGCAAAAUUAGGACAGACUGAAGGCAGCAAAUUCCGCGUUGGCCGUGCACUUUGAGGAGAAGACAUUGUCUUUGUAUAAGUGCCCCUACAAUCAUCUCUUUACAGCAGAGAUAAGGCCUUCAGAUAGAUAUGGCCGCAUAAAUCGCACCGAUGGAUCCAGUCCUUCGCUAGGUCCAACCUACCCUGCACCAGCCUCAAGCACGUUAUUCAGUCAACGCAUAUUCUGUCUUUUGGCAUGUGUAUGCUUGCUCUUGUGCUCAUGUUGUAAUCGUGACCUGUAAUCAGUCCAUGAUCCUUGUGUGACCAGAAGUUGGGCAUAACUGCAUUGUUACUGAGAAGAUGUGAAUAUUAACUUAGGGAUCGGAGCUGAAGCUCUAGCCGAUAGCAAAGAUAUGAAGUCUGUGCUCUGUCUUAUGUUUGCAAGUAUAUUGAUGUAACUUCACAUCUUGAAUGGAGUCACUCCUAUGUGUACUGCCGCUGUAAUUA